rnacentral:rRNA from 1 species
UACGUAGGGGGCAAGCGUUGUCCGGAUUUAUUGGGCGUAAAGCGCACGCAGGCGGUCUCUUAAGUUUCGAGUGACAGGUGGUGGCUCAACUGCCACAGGCCUUGAAAAACUGGGAGACUUGAGGACUUCAGAGGGAUGCGGAAUUCCAGGUGGAGCGGUGAAAUGCGUAGAUAUCUGGAGGAACACCGGUGGCGAAGGCGGCAUCCUGGACCAACACUGACACUGAGGAGCGAAAGCCAGGGGAGCAAACGGG